AACGUAGGAGGCGAGCGUUAUCCGGAUUCACUGGGCGUAAAGCGCGUGCAGGCGGUUCGGUAAGUUGGGUAUGAAAUCUCCUGGCUUAACUAGGAGAGGUUAUCCAAUACUACCGGACUAGAGAGUGGUAGAGGAAGAUGGAAUUCCAGGUGUAGUGGUGAAAUGCGUAGAUAUCUGGAGGAACACCAGUGGCGAAAGCGAUCUUCUGGACCAUUUCUGACGCUCAGACGCGAAAGCUAGGGUAGUAAAC
rnacentral:rRNA from 1 species